GCAAGCUAGUCACACACAGAAAGCGAGAGAACGAGUUGGGUAAACACAGAGAAAGUGGACACUGGAUGUAGCCUCUAUGGGUCUAAUUUUCUCCGGUCGGCAGUAUUUAGACUAUACUUCGAAGGACUUAAAGUCACCAAAACGCAGAAUAAUACCAGGCAAGUUAACCAGUUGUUGCCUUCUCUCCAGUUUAUGUGAUGUUUACAAAUCCACAUGUGGCAGUACACUUUGUGUAGCAGAGACUUAUGUGAUAUUUAAGAAGCAAUGUGACCAACAAUAGAAGGAGAUUCUUACAGUUUUCUGUUCUGUAUACCUUCUGAAGAGAUAGAUUGCAAUAGAGAAGCUUAUCAAGAAUGAUUGGUACAUCUCAGAGAGGCACAUGGAAAGUCCAACUAGGUUCCACAGAGCCUGUUUUCAGCAGAAGCCCAGGGAGAAAUGCUCCAGAUGCAUGUCUUUGGAUAAAUAAAUAAACUUUCUUCUUGAAGCUCCCCCUGCCUCUUGAUUUAUAUACUUUAAAUUGCCUUGCCUUGUAUUAUGCCAUCUACACGUGCUUGUUUACUGAGGUCAAACUUAUUUACAACUUAUUGUUUAUGCUGCAUGCUCAAGCCUAUCUACACUUCACUGUGGCCAUUAGCAGGUGUUCUGACCUUGAACAGGUGAUGCUCAGGAUGAAGGGUUGCUUAGAGGCUUGCAUAACUGAUGAAUACUGCUGCUUGUCAGGCUAAGACAUGUGAACUUGUAUGCUUAGCUCUUUGUGCACACGCUUGUUAAUGAAUUCCUAUGAUUCUUUUGUGUAUUCCUAAAUGGACCAAGUAUGGAGUACUUAAAGAUAUUUCAGAAAUUUGCUCAAAUGAAUAAUGUGUGGGAAAGAGUCAAAUACAACAAUGAACAGGACAACAAAAGCCCAAAUUGCAAUGAAGUAGCAGGAGUUUUUUAUUAAUAUCUACUGACACAACUUUUAUGAACAAAUGUUUAACAACUGAUUCUUGAAGACUUAUUUGAGUGUUGCAGGACUGAAAUGCAAUGCAUAUUAAUAACCAGUACGAAGUUACAUUAAGGAAUAUUUUGAAUAAACCAUCUUUGUAUAGAAGAAGACCACUAGUUUUGUUUUCCGAUAUGACUAUAGUGACUCUAAAAAUGAUAAUUGAAUUGUCUUGCUAUGAUGGGCAAUCCAUAGAAUAUUAAUAGAAUGUGCCUCUAAACUGGCACUUGGGGUGUUUCUCACAUUAAAUAUUAGGAAAAUGGAUGAUCUUGUUAAUUCCCAUGUGUACAGCUACUGCUCUGCCAAGUUAAUUUUUUCCCCCCAUUAGCCUUUAUAAAACAAUAUAACCAAACUACACACAAAUACUUAAUCUCAAAAAGUACAGGAAAGGUUACAGCUAGAUUUGAACUCACUAUGGAACUGGCUCGCUAACAUGCAGCUUGUAAAAGCAACUGCUAUGCUGUUUGGUACACAUCAGAAACUUAAAUCAAACCCCACCUUAAACUUCACUAUCUACCAAGGUGCAGUACUGUCUAAAGUUGCCUAGGUAUAACUCUCAAUCAGCAACUCACUUUUGUGCAACAUUUACAAAAUAUCACAAAAGGCACAAUCAGAUAACUAAGAUUAGUAUAUAAAUACUCUCACAUUCUGUCACUGGAAUCUAGAAAGGAAAUUGCAUUACAAAUGAUAAUAAAUUGCUCAUUAAAAGUUGUGAUAAAGAGAUAUGUUUUAAAGUCAUGCAUGAUAAAAUGACUUUAAACACAUCAGAGUCAGAGAUAAUUAAUAUGAUGGAAAGAAUUUAUUUCAAAAUUAUGAAUGAAGAACCUAUGUAGUAAUCAUGAUUUUAUAUAAAUGCAAGUUUGCCUAUGUCACAAGUGUUAAAAAAGAAAUUAAGUAAAAAGACAGUAAAUUAAAACAGGAUUUUUAAGACUAUACUGGUUUAACUAGAGGUUCAAAAGAGGAAGUAUCCUCAAUACAAAUGGAUGAAACUGUAUUUUUCAUUGGUGGGUUUCAAUUAAUAAGCUAAAUCUCUCAACAGAUGAAUUAGUAGUUAAAAAAGCAGCAGCCAAUCUACUGACAUGUAAAUCUCCACAUUUUCAUCAUGAGCAGUCAAAGAUGGUCAAUCAUUCUGGUGUAAUUAUAAGGAACAACAAAAAACGUAGACCAGCAAAAUUGAAUGGUGGCAAUAAGAAGCCCAAACAACAGGAUUUUCAGAUGGUGGACAUACAUUAGAAUUAAGACAGAAAGACAUCAGACAAUAAAUGGCUGGAUGUAGUGAAGUAGCAGCCAUCACAAAGUAAUUAUCAGGAGUCCCAUCAACUGAGACAGUGUGAAGGAUAGAGAAGAGCUAAAAGAGAAGGAUAGAAAAAGAGCUAAAAAGGAUAGAAUCUGAAGAAGUAAUUAUGUCUCAGCUUCAAAAAUUUCAAUCUACUAGUCAGACUAUAUUUAGGGUGAUGUCCAUAACAAUAUACAAAACCAUAAUAAGAUCUAUAGUGGAAUAUGGGAGUAGAUCUUUGCAUAUAAUCUGAACUACAAAUAAAUAAAUUAGAAAAGAUUCAAAGAUUUUUCAUUAGGAGAAUCUAUGGCAUGGGGAUACCAGUUAUACUGUGCGUUUUACAGGACGUCUAGAGGUGAUUUGAUAUGGCUAUAUAAAUGUUUAAAAAGUGAGAAGAUGUGUAGCUCUUUCAGGCUGAAUUUUGUUAUCCACUAAUUUUCUGCACAUGAACAUUUCCAAAAGCAGUGUGAAUAAUGGCUUAAGUAUUGCUGUUAGUUUUAAAAACAGUGCCUGUAAUCCACUACUGCAUUUUGGAAGCAUGCAUCUUCUACAUACAAAACAAAUGUUGUUUCUGGUGUGUUUCUAGAAACAGAGAAUUAACUACAAAAGCAAAAUUAAAUUAAUAGAUAGAAAUUGAAUAAACAUUUUUUUCUAAGAUAUUAUCCAAAAGACUUAAUACAGGAAGGAGCCAAAACUGCAGAUGACAUUAUAGCAAGUUAGAAGUUAAGAAACAAGAGGAUACUGAUUUGGUUCUAAUUAUGUGCUCAAGAUAUUGUGAAGACAGUGGAGAUUUUAAAUAUAUAGUGAAAGGUACUUGGGAAAUGAUAAGUGGCAAUGACAAGGUACUAGUCCAAAGUUUGUUAAUAGGAAUUUUAACAUCAAACAUGUUUGAAAGAAGGAAUAGUGGAAUGGAAAAGAAGGGGGGCAAAACUGGCUAUAUUUAAAUGCCACACUUGUUGCAUGUGCAGGUAUGAGUGUGAAGGAAGCAAUGCCUAUUGUGCAGAUACUAGUAGAACAUAUGCUUUGCCAGGUUUUCUCUAUUGUUUAUCAGAAUAUGUGGUUUACAUUGUUUUGUACACAAUCUGUGAUUGUUUUUAUGUAGGCAAGACCAAUCAAAAACUUAAAAUAAAAUAUAUAAACAUGUACAUGCAAUAAAGAACAGCAAUUAUUUUAAUGAUUUGUAUAGACACUGAAGCAAAUGUGUGAAUUUUAAAAAAGUUUGUUUAUUCAGUACUGGGUCAUAUGAUCCAUGAUAUUAGAGGAGGAAAUAGAUAUGACAAACCUGACUAUUUGGAAUAUAAAUGGCACAUUUUAUUAAAUAUUUCUUGGCAUUUUGGUCUUAAUUCUAGUAUCAACUACAAAUGUCUUAAAGGAUAAAAUUGCAUAAAGUCAAACAUUUAAUUUGUCAUUAGACUGUAUGCAUUUAAAAGGGGUUUAAUAGUUUGAUUACUCAGUCUGAUUAAGUCCUGUGACCAGAAUGUUAUUUGUAAAGAUCAAAGCAGUUACUGAAAUAGUUAAGUUAAUUUGUGAAUAAAGACAUUUUGGCUUAUUCUUC